rnacentral:misc_RNA from 1 species
GAUGAAGAACGUAGCGAACUGCGAUAAGUAAUAUGAAUUGCAGAAUUCAGUGAAUCAUCGAGUCUUUGAACGCACAUUGCGCCCCCUGGCAUUCCGGGGGGCAUGCCUGUCCGAGCGUCAUUGCUGCCCUUCAAGCCCGGCUUGUGUGUUGGGUCGUCGUCCCCCCCGGGGGACGGGCCCGAAAGGCAGCGGCGGCACCGCGUCCGGUCCUCGAGCGUAUGGGGCUUUGUCACCCGCUCGAUUAGGGCCGGCCGGGCGCCAGCCGGCGUCUCCAACCUUCUAUUUUACCAGGUUGACCUCGGAUCAGGUAGGGAUACCCGCUGAACUUAAGCAUAUCAAUAAGCGGAGGA